rnacentral:misc_RNA from 1 species
AGUAAACAUUGCAUGGAAGGCCAAAUGCGAAUACACAGAACUGUUUCUUUCUAGUUUGGAAAUUUCUAUUUUAUUACCUAGCUUAAUCUCCAAAUAGAUUAAUUUUGUGAAAUAAACUUAUUUAACUAGUGACAGUUUAUGUGAAUGGAAGGUUCUGAUCUGAAAUGGAAACGAUGAUUAAAACAAUAUAUUUCUUUCUACUAUUCGUUUUUGUUAAUACACAAUGGCAGCAGUAUUAUUAUAAAUGGAAUGGAGAUCACUUUGAUAUUAUUGCCUCGGAUAAAUAUGUAAAGAAUUAUCGAAAGAUUCAAGCUCCAAAGUCUUAUAGAAUAGGACACAAUCAACGUGGAGAUCGCCCCGGUAGAUGUAUAGCUGCUCAAUUCUACUGCAGUCAACCAUACUCCUUACAAGAUACUAACCAGUUCGAAUGUGAGACAGACUAUCAGUGCCCAACACCCUUUAAAUGUUGCAAAGUCAAGUGUUUUCUACAUAAAAUUUGUCAACCCAGUAUUGAAGAACAAGAAACUCCUGAUCCUAAUUCACCGGCAUCUCCAGAAGAAAUAAAGAAAACAACAGAAAUUACAACAGCGCAAUCAACGACAUCAACAUUCACAUCCUUUAAUACCGAAGAUAUAACUGCAACGUCAACAAUCACAGAAGAAAUAUCUACAGACACAACGAGAACUGAAGUAACAACACAACAAACUGAUUCGACAACUUCCUCAACAGAGGGUGAAGAAACAACUACAGUUUCUACUACUUUAAGUCGUGAAACUUCUACCGAAACUAUGAAAACCGAAGUAACAACCAAACAAACUGAUUCGUCAACUUCCCCAACAGAGACUGAAGAAACCACUACACAUUCUACCACUUCAAGUCCUGAAACUUUCACCAAAACUAUGAAAAGUUCAACUCCAACAGUGGAAAUAACAACUAUCACAGUGACAACACAACAAAAUGACAUUAAAACUUCACCAGAAAAGGAAGAAACUUCGUCAGUUUCUGAUACUCCAAGUACUGAAACGUCUUCGGAUACUUCGGAAAUACAAACUUCUUUGACAGUGAUAACAACUACCACAACCACACAGGAACCUGAUCUUAAAACGACGUCAGAAAAAGUACAUUCUACAUAUUCUAAUACUGUAAGUAGCGAAAUUGCUACUGAAAAGUCCGAAACGCAAACUUCGUCGAUAACUCCUACAGCAACACAGCAACCUAGUCUUACAACAUCAGAAAAAGAAGAUAACUCUACAGAUUCUAAUACUGAAACGACUACUCAAAAUUUGGAAACAAACAGUGCUUCAACGAAAAUAACAGAGCAAACUUCUUCUAAAGAUUUGGAAACAGAUUCGUCAACAGUCGGCAGUACAGAUAGAGUCACUAAACAGACUGAAGCCACAACAACAACUGAUAAAACUAGUUCAACUUCGAGUGUUCAUACAAGCCCUGAGCAACUGGAAACAGACACUACUCAACACCAAGAGCAGUCAACCGUGACAACAGAAAAUAAGGACAUAUUGACUUCAAUCACUACUAGCAAUAAUGGUGAAGCAACAGAUCUCCCACCAGUACAAAUGAGACGCACCACAAAACAAGAUGAAAUUACUACUACAAAGAGUUCAACAGAGUCUGUUAUUUCAGAGAGUCUGAAGACAAGAGAACCUCCUGAGGAAUUAAAUCAAAAAGACUAUAAAACAAAAGCACCAACAACAACUAUUACACAAAGACCAUCUAAAGGACAAACGGUGACAACUUCUACAACAGAGAUAAGUUUAACCGAGGCAAAAACAACUGAAUCUAAAGCAAUAACAAAAUCCACCAGCAGAAUUAUUGAUAACGAAGAAGGUAGUGGAGGUAUUGACGAGCAUAAUGGUAGUGGAGACAGUGAUUAUGAGGAAAGUGACAAAACAGACACUGGUAACGAAAAAAACAAAGUUAAGGGUAGCGGCGAUGAAAAUCGUGAUGGCAAUGAAAAUGGCACUUCCGAAUUUUCUUUCAGUGAAGAAGAGGACGGUAACGAUUCUAACAAGGAAUCAUCCAGCACACAAACAAAUACAGAACAUGCUAAAGACACGACCACAACUUUUACAGCAGGCGUAACGCCAGACUUAAGCUCAACAGAGAAGAAAACAACCGGAUCUAAAGCAACAACAGACGCCACCAGCGAAAAUAAUAUUGAUAACGAAGAAGGAGAUAUUGACGAAGAAAAUGGUAGUGGAGACAUUGAUAAUGAAGAAAGAGACAAAACAAAUACUGACAACGGGACCAAUAAAAUUGAGAGUAGAGGUGAUAAAAAUGCUGACGACGAAAAUGACAGUUAUGAAUAUCCUUUUAGUGAAGAGGAGGACGGUGAUGAUUCUAACGAAGAAUUAUCUAGCACGAAGAAAACAGAAAAUCCUAAAGAAAAUACUAGUACCAAACCUUCAACAACACAGCCUACAACUACUACAAAUAAAUCACAAGCAAGCUCAGACGCAAAGAAAUUUACUAAACAAAGUGCGGAAGUAACUAAACAAUCUACGCAAGCGACUACACCAACUACAAAGGCAACCACUAUAAACAUUGAAGCAACACAAAAGGUUAAAAUUGAUGAAAUUAAUGGGGAUAGUAAAAAAGAGGGAAACCUUGAUGAAUCUGAAGAAGAAUCAUCUAAAAAAGGUACGGAAGGAGAUACAGGAAAAAAAGUAAUGGAAAGUAGUAGAUCCUCUACAGAAAAACAAGCUGCUCAACCUGCUAGUGCAGACACUACUGAAGCAACUCUACAAACUAUUGGAGGAACUAUACAAUCUACUAAAGAAUCGACACAAACUGUGGAAGAAAUUGUACAAAGUACGAAAGCUACUACACAGACUCAGACUAGUAUAGCAACCCCUAUAGAACAUAAACCAACAGAAACGAAUGCUCCGAAUAGUGAUAAAACGGUAAGCAAUGGAGAAAGCAAAGAAACCAACAAAGAAUAUAGUUAUGAUAAGGAACGUGAAAAUAUAAAAAUGGAUAACCAAAACAAAGAAAUUGACCGUAGUGGUGACGAUAAUGGUGAAGACAAGAAAAAUGAUAGCUCGGAUGGAAAACGUGGCGACUUUGAAAAGGAAUUUUCUAAAAAAGAAGUAGAAGAAGAUAAUACAGGAAAAAAUAUAUCCUUAAACAAAACAACAGGAAAUCUUGAAAAAAUUACUGAGACUAAACCCUCAACCAUAGAACCUAUAACAGAGACCAUUAAUAAUAAGUCCCAGACAAGCUCAGAAGCAAAUAGAUUGACACAAGAAGAUACGGAAGUAACCAGACAAACUGCUAAGGUGACUAUACAAACUACAAAAUUAACUACAGAAAUUGAGGAGAUAAGGAAGACAACUAUGCAAACUAUGAAAACAACCUCCGCAGACAGUGAUGCAACACAGGCGAGUACUGUUAAUGUUGCUAAAGAUUCGACAAAAAAACCUACAGCAGAAAGUAGUAGUCACACGCCAAUAACAAUGGCUAACAAAGUUAGAGUAACUCCAAAAUCUACAAAAGCAGAAUCCACUGAAAGCCAAAAAGAAGCUGUUACUGAGAAUGCACUCAAUAGUGACGAUGAAGAUGGCAGUGGAGAUCAUGCAUAUGACGAUGAUGAAGAUAAUGAUUAUGAAGAUAAUGAUGAUGAUGAGGAUGAUGAAGAUAACGAUGAUGAAAAUAAUGAUGAAGAUAAUGGCGAUGAAGAUGAUUAUGAAGAUAAUGAUGAUGAAGAUACAGACGACAAAGAAUACGAAAAUUAUGAACAUGAUGAGGACGAUACUGAGGAAGAUUCUAAAAAUGAAGAUUAUAAUAGUAUAUUACAUACCUAGCGGGAAAGUACUCUAUUUCAGCCGAGCGGCAAGGUAGUUUACCGAGGUGCGAAGCAACGAGGUAAACUACAGACGCGAGGGUAGAAUGAGUUCCCGCGAGGUUUAUAUACUAUUUUACUCACAAUCGGUUAGUAGUUUAUGGAUUUCUAAUACUCACAAUCUACCAAUAAUAAUUUCGUUUCAAAUAUCUGUAUCCAUUUUCAUUAUGUGAUAAGAUGAAUUAUUUUAAGUAACCUGUGAGAUCGUUGCUAGGUAACAAAACAAGUUUGUUGAAUCUGACAUUUAGGCGAUACACGACGCCAUUAAUUGUACAUAUAAUCAAAUUGUGUUUAUUUUACAAAAAUGUCUGAUAGUGAAUUUGAAUGUACGCCACCAGAACUGCGGGUAGCUGCAGAGAGAGCUACUGAAGGAAUAAUUCCUGAAAAAAAUGUUAUUACGAAGUCUGUCACUAUUUACAUUCUUUCUAAACCAUCUUUUAAUCAAAAAUGACAUUGACAUUUGCAGGUAGAAAAGUGACAGAUGCUAGCCGGGAAAGUACUUUCCCGGCUAGCUGGGAAAGUAAAGUAAGUAAUAAGUCGCUUUCUGAUUACUUCAAAGGUUAGAAAUCCAUAAAUUACUAACCGAUUGUG